rnacentral:rRNA from 1 species
UACGUAGGGUGCGAGCGUUAAUCGGAAUUACUGGGCGUAAAGAGUGCGUAGGCGGUCCCGCAAGUCCGCUGUGAAAGCCCCGGGCUUAACCUGGGAAUGGCAGUGGAAACUAUGGGACUUGAAUCUGGCAGAGGGGGGUGGAAUGCCACGUGUAGCAGUGAAAUGCGUAGAGAUGUCGCAGAACACCGAUUGCGAAGGCAGCCAGCUGGGCCCUUAUUGACGCUGAGGCACGAAAGCGUGGGGAGCAAACAGG